GACGAACGCUGGCGGUAUGCUUAACACAUGCAAGUCGAACGAGAAGUUUUUAUUGACCCUUCGGGGGAUAUAAGAGACAGACAGUGGCGAACGGGUGAGUAACGCGUGGGCAACCUACCUAUCGGAGCGGGAUAGCCUCGAGAAAUCGGGAGUAAAACCGCAUAACACGGAUAUAUCGCAUGAUGAAUCCGUCAAAACUCCGGUGCCGAUAGAUGGGCCCGCGUCUGAUUAGCUAGUUGGUAAGGUAAGGGCUUACCAAGGCAACGAUCAGUAGCCGGUCUGAGAGGGCGAACGGCCACACUGGAACUGAGACACGGUCCAGACUCCUACGGGAGGCAGCAGUGGGGAAUAUUGCGCAAUGGGGGCAACCCUGACGCAGCAAUACCGCGUGAGUGAAGAAGGUUUUCGGAUCGUAAAGCUCUGUUAUUGGGGAAGAAGCAGUGACGGUACCCAAUGAGGAAGUCCCGGCUAACUACGUGCCAGCAGCCGCGGUAAUACGUAGGGGACGAGCGUUGUCCGGAAUCACUGGGCGUAAAGGGCGCGUAGGCGGUUUUAUAAGUCAGAUGUGAAAGGUACCGGCUCAACCGGUGACGUGCAUUUGAAACUGUAAGACUUGAGUACUGAAGAGGCAAGCGGAAUUCCUAGUGUAGCGGUGAAAUGCGUAGAUAUUAGGAAGAACACCGGUGGCGAAGGCGGCUUGCUGGGCAGAUACUGACGCUGAGGUGCGAAAGCGUGGGGAGCGAACAGG
rnacentral:rRNA from 1 species